GCAUUUUUUUGUCCCUCAUGCUACAAUAGUGUCAAAUAAUGGACAUGUAUACAAGCACAGUUCUGGUUUUCAUUUUUCAGAUGCUUUCCAGUGCCCACUAUUGUCUAUUUUAGCUUUGAUUUAUCUCCUUACAAGGUGCAUGCCCCGGGAAUGGAUAAACUAAACUAAGGUCUCUGUCUCUUUAAAUGCUGUGAAAUGAGAAUUCCUGAAAAGUAGAUAUGGAAUCCUGAGCAUCAG